UUUUUUUCUUUUUUUUUUUUUCGUCUUUUAAGGCCCGCACUUGCAGCAUAUGGAGCGGCCCAAGAAAUGGCAAAAAGACAAACAAACAAACAAACAAAAACAAACUACAACACUUAUUACAAAGACCACACAAAAUAUGCUGGGGUUCCCGUUGUGGCACAGCGGAAAUGAAUACAACAAGGAACCAUGAGGUUUUGGGUUUGAUCCCUGGCUUUGCUCAGUGGGUUAAGUAUCCAGCGUUGCCCUCCCUGAGCUGUGGUGUGGGUCGCAGAUGCGGCUCAGAUACUGCAUUGCUGGUGGUGUGGUGCAGGCCAGCAGCUAUACCUCCAAUUUGACCCCUAGCCUGGGAAUCUCCAUAUGCUGACGAUGGGGCCCUAAAAACAAAUGCUGUAACAGUUACAUAUAACAAGCAAGAUAUAAAAGUUUAUGUACACGAACAUUUCAAGUGUAUUUUUGAAACUAAAAAUCUAUGUAGAAUGUGCAAGGUGAACUGUAGGAAGCAAAGAUGUACAAUAUUAGCUUAAUAUUGAGGCAGAAAAAUCAAGUAUUUGUACCAAUAAGCACAAGAUGAGGGAGAAUGAAAGCCAUGCAAUAAUUCCAGGAGGAAAAAAAAUAAAAUCUUGGAACAAUGAAGACUUAGAAAAAGCAAGUCUAUGUGUCUAAGAACCUUUUGGGGUAGAGAGAUUGGGGGAAAUGUUUAGGAGAAUAAAAGGAUCUGCAGAGCUCAGUACAGGUGGGUCUCUAUCUCGACUUUCCCGACUUUCCCACCGUCUAUAAAAUGACAAGCAGUUUGCACAUGAACUUGAAAUCACAGGUCACUUUCAACUACAUGUGAUAAAUAAUACUGUCCAUCAGCCAACCUGGGCACCUCAAAGUUAGUAGAGGGAAGGCAAGCACAGCAAGCAGUGUCUUUGGUGGACACCUUCUCUCCCUACAUCAUUUCCCAUGUCUUGCUGACUUGUGUUUCAAGUCACCAGUGAACCUAAGAAAUGGGAAAGUUC
rnacentral:lncRNA from 1 species